CUUUAUUUCAAAAUCUAUAAAUAGAUUGUAAUCACAAGUAAUAGAGCACAAGUAAAAUCAUAGAUGUUACAGAGAAUUAAAAUUCAUUAGGUGAUUAUCAAUGGAGUUCUGAUCGAAGAUGAAAGACUGAGUUACGAUUAGAAGAUGAAAGAUGAGAAAAUGUUCAUUGAAAAGGGUUUUCAAUCCAGAGAAGAAAUCCAUUUCUGCUCAAAGAGGAUACCAGAAUUCGACCACUUCAUGCCUAUGAUGUUUUAUAUAGACUGCAAGAAAUCUUCAUCAGCACAUCCGUCUCUUCAAACAAGUUUUCAACAAGGAUUGAAAACCAGAGUCAUACGAGGAUUCAAAUAUGAAGGACGUGAAACCGAAAAAAAUUAUGUGUUUAAUGGAAAUUGGAAGAUCCGGAUUUCAAACUACUACAGGAUUUUUGUAUUCUUAGAUUUGCUAACACAAAAUAUUGUAUAGUCAUCAUAAUAUUUUCUAUCUACAUCGCAUUCUUUUGAAAGUCUUUUCUUGAUUAUUAAA